rnacentral:rRNA from 1 species
CCUACGGGAGGCAGCAGUGAGGAAUAUUGGUCAAUGGCCGGAAGGCUGAACCAGCCAAGCCGCGUGAAGGACGAAGGUGCCAAGCAUUGUAAACUUCUUUUGUCAAGGGACAAAAUCAGGCUCGAGAGCCUGACCGAGGGUACUUGAAGAAAAAGCAUCGGCUAACUCCGUGCCAGCAGCCGCGGUAAUACGGAGGAUGCGAGCGUUAUCCGGAUUUAGUGGGUUUAAAGGGGGCGUAGGCGGACUGUUAAGUCAGCGGUAAAAGCCCGGGGCUCAACCCCGGCGAGCCGUUGAAACUGGGUGUCUUGAGAUGUCGAGAGGUAUGCGGAAUGCGCAGUGUAGCGGUGAAAUGCUUAGAUAUUGCGCAGAACUCCGAUUGCGAAGGCAGCAUACCGGCGGCGAUCUGACGCUGAGGCACGAAAGCGUGGGUAUCGAACAGGAUUAGAUACCCGAGUAGUC